GAAAAUUGGUGGAUUUCAAGUAAUCAAGCAAUCAAAGGUGGUGAAUCCUUCGAUAAGGGCAAAGAAAUUGUACCCGAGGAUCGAUAGUCGGAGUACUCUAAAAAUUCGACUCCCGAAAUACUUGCUGCAGUGGGCAGGUUCUGUGGACCAGCAUAUUAGAGGGGCAUGAAAUCCGGUUAUAUACGUACCUCAGUCGGAGAGGUGCGUAGGGUAUGUCCUAAGCUAUGGUAAGCGUUCACGUCACGCCGAACCACCUCGUGAUGAUGAACUCCGCUAACGCCAAGGAAUGAUUGUGUUUUUCAAAC